GUAUGCAUAUUUGAAAAAGAGCAUUUUUAAUAUUGGUUAAGAAGUAAUAAAGUAGCAGCUGUUGUGUGUCUUAUAUCGGUGUAAACAUGACACAGUGUGGUAGAAUGAUGAUUUAUGAUUUAUUACAGUAUUGUAUUGAUGCGAGACCUCUCCGUGGGAUCAGUGUACAGUCGACGGAGCACGCUGCGAUCACACACAAAACUAAUUCAGUCUGUCAGAGAGCCGCUUCAUCCAGAAACUGCAGACGUUUCACAACACACGGAAAAAGGCAUUUAAAAAGCACGUCUAUGUAGAAACAGAAUAAAAAUGCAGCAACUAAAUAAAAACGAUUUCUAAAAAAA